rnacentral:rRNA from 1 species
UAACGCGUGGAGAACCUGCCGUAUACUGGGGGAUAACACUUAGAAAUAGGUGCUAAUACCGCAUAAGCGCACAGCUUCGCAUGAAGCAGUGUGGAAAACAAAAGGCUAAAGCUUUUGGUGGUAUACGAUGGAUCCGCGUCUGAUUAGCUUGUUGGCGGGGUAAAGGCCCACCAAGGCGACGAUCAGUAGCCGGCCUGAGAGGGUGAACGGCCACAUUGGGACUGAGACACGGCCCAAACUCCUACGGAAGGCAGCAG